UACGAGGGGUGCAAACGUUAUUCGGAAUUACUGGGUGUAAAGGGUACGUAGACGGCAUAUUAAGUCAGUUGUUAAAUUCCCCAGCUUAACUGGGGGUAGGCGAUUGAAACUGAUAAGCUAGAGGAUGAGAGAGAGAAGUGGAAUUCUCGGAGUAGCGGUAAAAUGCGUAGAUCUCGAGAGGAACACCGAUGGCGAAGGCAGCUUCUUGGCUCAUUUCUGACGUUGAGGUACGAAAGCGUGGGGAGCAAACAGG
rnacentral:rRNA from 1 species